AACAGAUGCUAUUUUUAUGAAUGACCAAUCCCCUAAGCACAAAUGUAAUCAUUAAAUUCAUCAAUCCUUUCCAAGCAAAGUGUUUCACUCAAUCACUCAAGUGUUUAAGGAGAUCACUUUUCUCUCUACUAUCCUCUUGUCACAAGCAACAAAAUUGACUUGCAUCUAAUACAACCAACAUUCUCACACACAUAUGUCAUCAAAAGGACUUUUUCAAGGCUUAUAACUUGGGUGGGCUUAACAAGAAAUAUUGGUUUUUCAGAUCACAAAAUCCUUGAGUUAAGAGAGUUAUUCAAUAUUCAUAGUUCAAGCACAACUCUCUUUCAACCAAUCUACUUAUUCCCAACUUUUCCCUUUUUCUUUUGCAUUGAGCCUUAUCUUUCAUGCUUUUCUUUUAUUUUCUAUUCUUCUCAUGCUUUUAUCAUUCAACACAUUUUACUAAAUGCUUUUUUUUCUUUUUCCUUUCAGCUUCCCCCAACAACCCCAAACUUGAACCUUUAUCAAUACCAUAAAAUAUUUCUCAACAUAACUCAAGGUAAAGAUUUUUAUCAACAAGGUUUUCAAAGUAUCUCAGGCUAAGGUUCAAAAAGGGUAGAACAUAUGGUUCUAUUUACUUUGGGCGAAAAUUUUGCUAAAUAACGGCUUCCCAAAAUGGC
rnacentral:lncRNA from 1 species